CGUGCUAAUCUGCGAUAAGCGCCGGUAAGGUGAUAUGAACCGUUAUAACCGGCGAUACCCGAAUGGGGAAACCCAGUGUGACUCGUCACACUAUCAUUAACUGAAUCCAUAGGUUAAUGAGGCGAACCGGGGGAACUGAAACAUCUAAGUACCCCGAGGAAAAGAAAUCAACCGAGAUUCCCCCAGUAGCGGCGAGCGAACGGGGAGGAGCCCAGAGCCUGAAUCAGCAUGUGUGUUAGUGGAAGCGUCUGGAAAGGCGCGCGAUACAGGGUGACAGCCCCGUACACAAAAGCGCAUGUGCUGUGAGCUCGAUGAGUAGGGCGGGACACGUGGUAUCCUGUCUGAAUAUGGGGGGACCAUCCUCCAAGGCUAAAUACUCCUGACUGACCGAUAGUGAACCAGUACCGUGAGGGAAAGGCGAAAAGAACCCCGGCGAGGGGAGUGAAAAAGAACCUGAAACCGUGUACGUACAAGCAGUGGGAGCACAGGUUUACCUGUGUGACUGCGUACCUUUUGUAUAAUGGGUCAGCGACUUAUAUUCUGUAGCAAGGUUAACCGAAUAGGGGAGCCGGAGGGAAACCGAGUCUUAAUUGGGCGUUAAGUUGCAGGGUAUAGACCCGAAACCCGGUGAUCUAGCCAUGGGCAGGUUGAAGGUUGGGUAACACUAACUGGAGGACCGAACCGACUAAUGUUGAAAAAUUAGCGGAUGACCUGUGGCUGGGGGUGAAAGGCCAAUCAAACCGGGAGAUAGCUGGUUCUCCCCGAAAGCUAUUUAGGUAGCGCCUCGUGAAUUCAUCUCCGGGGGUAGAGCACUGUUUCGGCUAGGGGGCCAUCCCGGCUUACCAACCCGAUGCAAACUGCGAAUACCGGAGAAUGUUAUCACGGGAGACACACGGCGGGUGCUAACGUCCGUCGUGAAGAGGGAAACAACCCAGACCGCCAGCUAAGGUCCCAAAGUCAUGGUUAAGUGGGAAACGAUGUGGGAAGGCCCAGACAGCCAGGAUGUUGGCUUAGAAGCAGCCAUCAUUUAAAGAAAGCGUAAUAGCUCACUGGUCGAGUCGGCCUGCGCGGAAGAUGUAACGGGGCUAAACCAUGCACCGAAGCUGCGGCAGCGACACUGUGUGUUGUUGGGUAGGGGAGCGUUCUGUAAGCCUGUGAAGGUGGCCUGUGAGGGUUGCUGGAGGUAUCAGAAGUGCGAAUGCUGACAUAAGUAACGAUAAAGCGGGUGAAAAGCCCGCUCGCCGGAAGACCAAGGGUUCCUGUCCAACGUUAAUCGGGGCAGGGUGAGUCGACCCCUAAGGCGAGGCCGAAAGGCGUAGUCGAUGGGAAACGGGUUAAUAUUCCCGUACUUGGUGUUACUGCGAAGGGGGGACGGAGAAGGCUAUGUUGGCCGGGCGACGGUUGUCCCGGUUUAAGCGUGUAGGUGUGUGUUCCAGGUAAAUCCGGUUCACUUUAACACUGAGGCGUGACGACGAGGCACUACGGUGCUGAAGCAACAAAUGCCCUGCUUCCAGGAAAAGCCUCUAAGCAUCAGGUAACAUCAAAUCGUACCCCAAACCGACACAGGUGGUCAGGUAGAGAAUACCAAGGCGCUUGAGAGAACUCGGGUGAAGGAACUAGGCAAAAUGGUGCCGUAACUUCGGGAGAAGGCACGCUGACAUGUAGGUGAAGUGAUUUACUCACGGAGCUGAAGUCAGUCGAAGAUACCAGCUGGCUGCAACUGUUUAUUAAAAACACAGCACUGUGCAAACACGAAAGUGGACGUAUACGGUGUGACGCCUGCCCGGUGCCGGAAGGUUAAUUGAUGGGGUCAGCGCAAGCGAAGCUCCUGAUCGAAGCCCCGGUAAACGGCGGCCGUAACUAUAACGGUCCUAAGGUAGCGAAAUUCCUUGUCGGGUAAGUUCCGACCUGCACGAAUGGCGUAAUGAUGGCCAGGCUGUCUCCACCCGAGACUCAGUGAAAUUGAACUCGCUGUGAAGAUGCAGUGUACCCGCGGCAAGACGGAAAGACCCCGUGAACCUUUACUAUAGCUUGACACUGAACAUUGAGCCUUGAUGUGUAG
rnacentral:rRNA from 1 species